CUCCAGCAUUUUUUGUGGAUAUGUAUCCCCGUGACCUACUUGGGUUUUCUCAGAGAGCUCCGGUUUCCUCCCACACUCCAAAGACAUACAGAUUUGCAGGUUAGUUGACUU